AAAAACAAAAAAAUUAAGUUGGCAUUAUCCCUUUUUCACUGGCGGGGCCUUUCCCAGGCAGAUGCUUCCUUGGCACUUCAACUGUUUGCACGCUGCAGCGGAUCUAGAUUUCAAGGACUGAUUAACACGUCUCCGGUGGGGCAUGCAGCUGUCGUGGGGUGCUCAUGUUAUCAGCAGCAGAGAUGUAACCAAGCGUUUUUGUUACCUGGGGUCUUCAAACUUCACAUACAAUUAAGAAAAACUUCAGAAUAGACACAGUUACAGCUAUAAUUAUUCCCAGGUAAGUAAAACAUAGGUAAAAUUGCAAACAAUAGUGUUGGCUCCAUACAAUUACAUUUCUGAAGUAGGUUUUAUGUACCAACCACCAAAAGAAGGCAGAUACGAUCACCUUUCUGCCUCCUUCUACUACUGCACUAAUAGAAGCUUGAUUCAUAUUGAUAAAUACAGCCUACUUGGUCAAUUAAAUCUCAAUUUUGUGAGAUGCUGGUGAUAGUGUGAGAUCUUGUACAGUACAGUGGUAGUGGUGUGUGUAUAGUAGAACCUUUUACAACAAUUGAAUGGUUGAAAUACAGAGGUUCUCUGAUUUGUGCUACUGUCAUCAGGCAGUGAAUUUCGAUCAGAUUUUACUUGUUGACAGGAUCCAUCUGGCUAUGUGGAGAAAAGGGGAGAAGUGAUACUGAGAUGCCUGAUUGAGUACAUGGGGGAGAGAAAAGAAGACCUCAUCAGUGUCCACCAUGUAUGUAUUGGGCUUAAAGCUACUUGUCUAAUUUCUGUCUGUAUGUUAUUACUAUUGUGAUGAUAUGGGGUAAUUACUUUGCUCUUAAAAGAUAUUUAAAAUAGUAAUGUGAUGAUCAAUAAGGUACAGGCAAGGACAAUUGCAUUGUUUUAUUGUAAUGUAUCCUUUGAACCAGAAAAGACAACACUCAUGCUACAGUAGAUCAUGAUAGUAUAGUACCCACACUCUAUGGCAUUGUCAUGGUAGACUUCACUCUGGUCACAUGCUCUAGUCAAAGUAUCCAUCUAGUAUCCAUCACCUUAAGCA